rnacentral:rRNA from 1 species
AAGGCUGAGGCGUGAUGACGAGGCACCACGGUGCUGAAGUGACAAAUGCCCUGCUUCCAGGAAAAGCCUCUAAGCAUCAGGUAACAUUAAAUCGUACCCCAAACCGACACAGGUGGUCAGGUAGAGAAUACCAAGGCGCUUGAGAGAACUCGGGUGAAGGAACUAGGCAAAAUGGUGCCGUAACUUCGGGAGAAGGCACGCUGACAUGUAGGUGAAGCCCCUGCGGGUGGAGCUGAAGUCAGUCGAAGAUACCAGCUGGCUGCAACUGUUUAUUAAAAACACAGCACUGUGCAAACACGAAAGUGGACGUAUACGGUGUGACGCCUGCCCGGUGCCGGAAGGUUAAUUGAUGGGGUUAUCGCAAGAGAAGCUCCUGAUCGAAGCCCCGGUAAACGGCGGCCGUAACUAUAACGGUCCUAAGGUAGCGAAAUUCCUUGUCGGGUAAGUUCCGACCUGCACGAAUGGCGUAAUGAUGGCCAGGCUGUCUCCACCCGAGACUCAGUGAAAUUGAACUCGCUGUGAAGAUGCAGUGUACCCGCGGCAAGACGGAAAGACCCCGUGAACCUUUACUACAGCUUGACACUGAACAUUGAGCCUUGAUGUGUAGGAUAGGUGGGAGGCUUUGAAGCGUGGACGCCAGUCUGCGUGGAGCCGACCUUGAAAUACCACCCUUUAAUGUUUGAUGUUCUAACCUGGCGCCGUGAUCCGGCGUGGGGACAGUGUCUGGUGGGUAGUUUGACUGGGGCGGUCUCCUCCCAAAGUGUAACGGAGGAGCACGAAGGUCAGCUAAUCCUGGUCGGACAUCAGGAGGUUAGUGCAAUGGCAUAAGCUGGCUUGACUGCGAGAGUGACGGCUCGAGCAGGUGCGAAAGCAGGUCAUAGUGAUCCGGUGGUUCUGUAUGGAAGGGCCAUCGCUCAACGGAUAAAAGGUACUCCGGGGAUAACAGGCUGAUACCGCCCAAGAGUUCAUAUCGACGGCGGUGUUUGGCACCUCGAUGUCGGCUCAUCACAUCCUGGGGCUGAAGUAGGUCCCAAGGGUAUGGCUGUUCGCCAUUUAAAGUGGUACGCGAGCUGGGUUUAGAACGUCGUGAGACAGUUCGGUCCCUAUCUGCCGUGGGCGCUGGAGAAUUGAGGGGGGCUGCUCCCAGUACGAGAGGACCGGAGUGGACGCAUCACUGGUGUUCGGGUUGUCAUGCCAAUGGCACUGCCCGGUAGCUAAAUGCGGAAGAGAUAAGUGCUGAAAGCAUCUAAGCACGAAACUUGCCCCGAGAUGAGUUCUCCCUGAGACUGUAAGUCUCCUGAAGGAACGUUGAAGACGACGACGUUGAUAGGCCGGGUGUGUAAGCGCAGCGAUGCGUUGAGCUAACCGGUACUAAUGAACCGUGAGGCUUAACCUUACAACGCCAAAGAAGU